CGGCUCCCCUCCCCCAACACCGUUCGGAAUCCUUGGGUCAACCGCCUCCGUCUCCACAGCAACGGAGUUUCAGAGCGCGCGGCAGCUUGGGGGCGGGGUUCCCAGUCCCCCGGUCAAAUUUUAGGACUUUUCAGCAGGAAAGCUGCACAACUGGAGGAGGGCAGGACGAGGCUGGCCUCGCAGGUCGGGCUACGUUCUUCUACGGUCUGAGGCGUUGUCUAGAAACUCAAAAUCUCUGGAAUCCCAUCCAGGACUCCUCCAUCAAGAUUUCUUCCGAUCCUGAGUAACCAAGAUUGGAAUACUGACCCCUUCAGGAGGCAGCCCAUGCCGUUUUUUCCCAACCGCUCUAAUCUGCCCCAAAUGCUUCCUUAUAUGAAUCCAAAUUUGUCUCUCCUUGACCUCUACCCUCUGCACUGUUUCAGCCUCCGCCUCUGGGGCCUUACUAAACAAGUCCAAUCACCCUUCCACGUGACCCCUUAUCUAACUGUAGGUGGGAUUAAUGUACUUAUCUGCCCAAACAGCUCCAGUCCUUUAAACUGCCUUUUAUUGAUUGGAGCCCACCCAGGAUACUACAUUACAUUCAGAUGUCAUGUCUCCUUAGGCUCCUGCAGACUGACAAUUUCUCAAACUUUGUUUUUGAUGACUUUGACAAUUUUGAGGUGGUAUGAUAAUUUGUGAAGUGUUUCUCAUGCUUAGCCUGGAGUUACAAGGUUGGAGAAAAAGACCAAAGAUGUGAAGUGCCAUUCUCAUCACAUCAUGUCAAGGGUACAUGCUGUUAACAUGAAUUAACAUCGAUGAUGUUAACCUUGAUGUCCUGGCUGAGAUGAACUCUCUUGGAUAGAAGGAUUCAAACAGAAAAAUGCAAAAAGAAGUCAGAUGGAAAACUCUGGAAAAUCCAAGAAGGGAGCUAGUUGAUGAUGAGCAAAGCCACAUGUGCUGUCUUGACAGCCAUAGAGAAGAAUGGAGGCCUCCAUACCUGAGUGGAAAGAGAAGAACAUGGGCAAUGAUUUUGUCUCUACAAAACAACAACAACAACAGACAAACAAAAUUAGCUGAGUGUGGUG
rnacentral:lncRNA from 1 species